UAAAACCAAGAAGCAAAAACCUAAGACUCUGCCUCCGUCAGGCUAUAAAAAAGAUAAGGAGAAUAAGGAAAAAACGUCUAAACAAUUAGAUUUAAAUAAUGAGUCCAGCGACGAGGACAACUCCGUCAGUGAAUCUGGUAAUUUUACUUUUUAUUUUAACGGAAAUGUUAAUUUUUUAUUUUUAUAAAUUUUUUAUGGCCAUCACGAGCGAUACAAUUAUUAAUGUAAGACAUGUUAUAUGUGCAAAUUUACUGUAAAUUACAAAUAAAAAUAUUGUUUUAAUAGUGACAACUGAAGAUACACGUGCAACCGAUACAGAUGAAAAUCGAGAAAAAAUAAACUCUUCGAUAAAACAUGCGAUACUUUCUAUAUUUAGUUAACGUGUUGCAAAUAAUAUUAUUGACAAUAAUUUCAAAAUGUUAUUUGCAACCAGUAAAUUCUUAUUCUCAUUUUAGAUAGAAAUACAUCAUUUAAGGAUCGCCGAUCAGUUCAAGUACAAACAAGCCUGAGCAAAGACAAAGGUGUGUUACUAUAUAAUAUUACGAUAAUGUAUGUAGCUAUUUAUGUUCUUUUUUGGCAAAUUGUUGAAACUGCGGUCAGUUGAGAAAUGUACAGUUUUGAUACUUUGCAACUUAAUAGGCCUGGGUCACUAUCAUAUAUUAAUUUUAUUUUUCUCUGAAAUUUGGCAUUUUUUAUUAUUAAUGCUACUUCAAAAGUAUUCUUAAGAAUGUACUUUUCUUGUGUAAACGUUGUGAUGUGUAGGUAUAAAAUGUGAUACAAUUUUAGCUGUUUAAACAGUUGGUGUAUACACAGGUCUAACCAAACCCAAAUAGUAAAACGCCUGUUAUAUUUACAAAAUAUGUGCGUAAACUCGUGACAAGUGUUUGUGCAAAUAACAUAUAUGUAAAGCUGCGUCCGUAAAUACUCAGCAACAGUAUCGUAUUUGUUUCAAGCAACGGUUUAUUCGAUAUUUAUUAUAUUUUUGCAGCAACAGUUUACACUUAAAAGUUAAGUUGUGAACAGUUUACUUAUUAUCGAUGGAAAUAUAUUACAUAUGGUUGCUGCAAACAUUUUGCAGCAAUGAUUUACACGUCUUUACUGUAAAAACACCAGAAAUAUGAAUCUUAGACGAAGUUACGAUUUAUCUUACGUAAUAUUUGUAGCGAUAAUACAUAAAUUGUUUUCAGAAAUAGGUUUGUAUGAUUUUACACACUUACGUUUUGCUAUCUGACUAUAAUUACUAAUAUAAUCUAUAGUUUUCUUUUUUCUAUUAUUAGCAUAUAAUUGACGUUUUUUUCCUCUCUGAUGACUCAGGCCCUUUAAUUCAGCCCCAGAUAAACUGUUAUUAACAUUUCGAUGUGUAUAGUACUUUUAAGGUUUACUAUUUGUCCUUUCAGAGUCCUCUGACAAUUUGCGUCUUAUUUUCGGAUGCGUUGGCGCGUGACUAUUCAUGGACAGGACGGAAAAAUACAUUUGCCUUCCAAGGAACAAAAAUGGCUCAAACUCUCAUUGAGACGGUUUUAAAAGACCACCCUAACACAACCCGGAGUGAAAUAGAAAAAAAAAUUAUGGUAUGGUUUCACCAUGCCGGUGAUAGAUGGAAAAGAAGAAAUUCUAUCUAUGUGGGAUCUACAGCUGCAUCUCAAGAAAAAAGUACUACAUAAUACUACCACAUAAUGCUGUUUAUCUUUACCAUGUUAUUUUCUUUAACCGAAAUAAAACUAAAAUUUAUAAAAAGAGACGUGUUCAUAUUACUAGUUAUUGCGAGGAAUAUCACAUGCCUCGGUAGUCGAAUUGGUUAGGACACCUUUACGGAAUAUGGGAGAUCCAGGUUCGAAUCCUGGCUGAGGUAUUAUUUUUCAUAAUACUUUAGUUUUUUUAGGGUUUUGCGGUGGGAGGAAUCAUAGACGCUUGUUUGCAUCAAAAAUUAUUAAAUUGUUUAUUUAAUUGUUAAUUAAACAAUUUUUGAACAGCGUAAACCAAAUGCAUAUUUGUGAAUGUGUAAAUUAAAUUAUUUUUAUUUUGUUUAACAUAAGAUUUAUAAAACUUCUAUCACAGGACAUUCGUACGAAUCCUACAGAAUUUCGUCUCGAAUCGUUACUUUUAUGUUAUUGUUGACCUCGUUGAAUCUCUAUGCGGCUUAUACAGCCAAUAUCGUGAGUUUGUUGCAGUCUGCCAUAGAUUUUAUCAAAACUUUUGGAUCUCGUAAAUAGUUCUUUACAACUGGGUGUACAACAUGUAGUGCACAACAAAUAUUAUUUCAAGUUCGGUAUAACAUCGAAACCGUAAAAUUAAUAUAAAAUUUUUUUUUAAAGAAGAAAUGGUAUAAUCUUUAGAAGUAUUAUUUGUAAUGUCUGUUAUUACGUAAUAAAUUUUAGUGAUUAUAGAAUUAUUUGUUUAGUACGAGUAAUAUGUUAAUAUGCUAAGACACAAUAAUCGAUUUCUUACAAGGAAUUUUUACUCUGGGCAUUUUCGAAAACCAGAUAACACACAAUGUUUAAAAUCAGGACAUAAGACGAUUUAUUAUGCGGUGUUAUUACAUUUUUAAUGUUUUAAUAAAUAUUUUAGCACUUUUAAUUUAAAAUUGCUUGAAAAACAUACUGAUGAAUAUAAUUUCCGUAUUCAUAUAGUCGAUCCUCAAUUCUCAAGAUCGGUCUGUUUUUAUCUCACGUAUGGUAAAACUCGAAACAAAGAAAGACUAAUCUUGAAAAAUUAGGAACGACUAUAAAUACAGAGUCUGUUGUAACUCGUAAUUGCUGCUUUCAGGGAGUUCGCAAUUAGUGGACGUAUGAGCUCUCGGUGAGCUUAUAUGGAAGCUUUCUGGGAACUACUUUGAAGCUUGCAGGAGCUCUUAAAACAUGAUUUCUGAACUUCCUUUGAGCUAAAACAUAGUUCUCUGGGAGCUUAUAUGAAAGUUCCUCGGGAACUACUUUGACGCCCGCAGGAAGCUCUUAAAAUAUGAUUUUUGAAUUCUUUGCAAACUAAAAUAAAGCUCCCAGGGUGUUAUUUAUUCGCCUCGCAAGGAAAGAUGAGGAUAUCGCGGUGAACUAAUACGGUCUACACUGAAUAUUGAGAUAAAUAUCUUUAUUGCUAAACUCUUUGCAGAUCGACAAGCCCGUCCGUUCGCUAUCGGGGCUUGCGAGCGACUGCCCCCUCUUCUCCGCGCUCCACCGAGCCGAUCUCAGUCAAACAUAGGACGAUCGCGAGCUCGGUCUCGCUUCCUGUAUGUUUCCAGGACACAGGGAGUUCAUAUGGAAGUUUCCCGGGAACUAUUUUGAAACUUACAGAGAGCUCUUAAAACAUGAUUUCUGAACUCCCAGCGAGCUUAAAUAAAACUCUCAAAGAGCUCUCAAAAGCGGACAUAGCAGCUGCCAGAGAGCUCCGUGCGAAUUUUUUGGAAGCUUAAAUGAAGCUUAUGAAAAUUUUGUAAGCUCCUCGGGAGCUCCCCGUGCUGUAUGGGUUAAUGCCUCAUUAUCAAAUGAUUUCUCUGUAAAUGCACACUCACUCUCUUCUACAAAAUUUGUAUCUUUUAUAGCAUUCAAGUUUGAAUUUCUUUCUCUGAUUUUAUUAAAUAUAAAUUUUUUAAUUUAACAAAAAUAUUGUCAUAAAAACACAUUAUUAAAUAUCAGAAUAUCAGAAUAAAAUAAUUUGAAACUUGCCAUUGAUUGAAGUUGUAUCAAUUUCUGAUCCGCUUGAACUAGCUUGUGCUGCUGGUCUACAACCGUACAAUAAUUCUAAUUCAUUA
rnacentral:lncRNA from 1 species